rnacentral:rRNA from 1 species
GAGGGCGACCGGCCACAUUGGGACUGAGAUACGGCCCAGACUCCUACGGGAGGCAGCAGUGGGGAAUAUUGCACAAUGGGCGCAAGCCUGAUGCAGCGACGCCGCGUGAGGGAUGGAGGCCUUCGGGUUGUAAACCUCUUUUAUCAGGGAGCAAGGCUUCGGUUGAGUGUACCUGUUGAAUAAGCACCGGCUAACUACGUGCCAGCAGCCGCGGUAAUACGUAGGGUGCAAGCGUUAUCCGGAAUUAUUGGGCGUAAAGGGCUCGUAGGCGGUUCGUCGCGUCCGGUGUGAAAGUCCAUCGCUUAACGGUGGAUCCGCGCCGGGUACGGGCGGGCUUGAGUGCGGUAGGGGAGACUGGAAUUCCCGGUGUAACGGUGGAAUGUGUAGAUAUCGGGAAGAACACCAAUGGCGAAGGCAGGUCUCUGGGCCGUUACUGACGCUGAGGAGCGAAAGCGUGGGGAGCGAACAGGAUUAGAUACCCUGGUAGUCCACGCCGUAAACGGUGGAUGCUGGAUGUGGGGCCCGUUCCACGGGUUCCGUGUCGGAGCUAACGCGUUAAGCAUCCCGCCUGGGGAGUACGGCCGCAAGGCUAAAACUCAAAGAAAUUGACGGGGGCCCGCACAAGCGGCGGAGCAUGCGGAUUAAUUCGAUGCAACGCGAAGAACCUUACCUGGGCUUGACAUGUUCCCGACGAUCCCAGAGAUGGGGUUUCCCUUCGGGGCGGGUUCACAGGUGGUGCAUGGUCGUCGUCAGCUCGUGUCGUGAGAUGUUGGGUUAAGUCCCGCAACGAGCGCAACCCUCGCCCCGUGUUGCCAGCGGAUUGUGCCGGGAACUCACGGGGGACCGCCGGGGUUAACUCGGAGGAAGGUGGGGAUGACGUCAGAUCAUCAUGCCCCUUACGUCCAGGGCUUCACGCAUGCUACAAUGGCCGGUACAACGGGAUGCGACAGCGCGAGCUGGAGCGGAUCCCUGAAAACCGGUCUCAGUUCGGAUCGCAGUCUGCGACUCGACUGCGUGAAGGCGGAGUCGCUAGUAAUCGCGAAUCAGCAACGUCGCGGUGAAUGCGUUCCCGGGCCUUGUACACACCGCCCGUCAAGUCAUGAAAGUGGGCAGCACCCGAAGCCGGUGGCCUAACCCCUUGCGGGAGGGAGCCGUCUAAGGUGAGGCUCGUGAUUGGGACU